rnacentral:rRNA from 1 species
UACGUAGGGUGCGAGCGUUAAUCGGAAUUACUGGGCGUAAAGCGUGCGCAGGUGGCUUUGCAAGACAGAUGUGAAAUCCCCGGGCUCAACCUGGGAACUGCAUUUGUGACUGUAUAGCUAGAGUACGGCAGAGGGGGAUGGAAUUCCGCGUGUAGCAGUGAAAUGCGUAGAUAUGCGGAGGAACACCGAUGGCGAAGGCAAUCCCCUGGGCCUGUACUGACGCUCAUGCACGAAAGCAUGGGGAGCAAACAGG